CGAAAUGCGAUAAGUAAUGUGAAUUGCAGAAUUCAGUGAAUCAUCGAAUCUUUGAACGCACAUUGCGCCCCCUGGUAUUCCGGGGGGCAUGCCUGUUCGAGCGUCAUUUCACCACUCAAGCCUCGCUUGGUAUUGGGCGACGCGGUCCGCCGCGCGCCUCAAAUCGACCGGCUGGGUCUUCCGUCCCCUCAGCGUUGUGGAAACUAUUCGCUAAAGGGUGCCGCGGGAGGUCACGCCGCAAAACAACCCCAUUUCUAAGGUUGACCUCGGAUCAGGUAGGGAUACCCGCUGAACUUAAGC
rnacentral:misc_RNA from 1 species